UACGUAGGGGGCUAGCGUUGUCCGGAAUCAUUGGGCGUAAAGAGCUCGUAGGCGGUCUGUCGCGUCUGCUGUGAAAACUCAGGGCUUAACCCUGAGCUUGCAGUGGGUACGGGCAGACUAGAGUGCGGUAGGGGAGACUGGAAUUCCUGGUGUAGCGGUGAAAUGCGCAGAUAUCAGGAGGAACACCGGUGGCGAAGGCGGGUCUCUGGGCCGUAACUGACGCUGAGGAGCGAAAGCAUGGGGAGCGAACAGG
rnacentral:rRNA from 1 species